rnacentral:rRNA from 1 species
CCUACGGGGGGCAGCAGUGGGGAAUAUUGCACAAUGGGGGAAACCCUGAUGCAGCAACGCCGCGUGAGUGAAGAAGUAUUUCGGUAUGUAAAGCUCUAUCAGCAGGGAAGAAAAUGACGGUACCUGAGUAAGAAGCCCCGGCUAACUACGUGCCAGCAGCCGCGGUAAUACGUAGGGGGCAAGCGUUAUCCGGAUUUACUGGGUGUAAAGGGAGCGUAGACGGCGAUGCAAGUCUGAAGUGAAAGCCCGGGGCUCAACCCCGGGACUGCUUUGGAAACUGUAUGGCUGGAGGGCUGGAGAGGCAA